CCUACGGGUGGCUGCAGUGGGGGAUAUUGCACAAUGGAGGAAACUCUGAUGCAGCGACGCCGCGUGAGGGAAGACGGUCUUCGGAUUGUAAACCUCUUUCUUUGGGGAAGAAAAUGACGGUACCCAAAGAGGAAGCUCCGGCUAACUACGUGCAGGCAGCGGCGGUAAUACGUCGGGAGCGGCGGUUGUCCGGAAUUACUGGGUGAAAGGGGAGCGUAGUCGGGCGAGAAGGCUGAAUGGUAAGGCUGCCGGGCUACCGGGUAGCUGCGUUCAAAACUUGUUGUCUUGAGUGAAGUAGAGGCAGGCGGAAUUCCUAGUGUAGCGGUGAAAUGCGUAGAUAUUAGGAGGAACACCAGUGGCGAAGGCGGCCUGCUGGGCUGUAACUGACGCUGAGGCUCGAAAGCGUGGGGAGCAAACAGGAUUAGAUACCCCGGUAGUC
rnacentral:rRNA from 1 species